CUAUCAUCAGGGCCUGAGUUGGCCUGAGGUGGGCCUGAGUUGGGCCUAUUUCUUUCUUCACUGAGACAGAGAAAAGCAGCUUCACUCUCCUUACUGUUGAUCUUAUGUCACUACAGCUUUCCCAAAUCUCCAGGUUUUCCUCCAGUACCAACUGUCACUCUCUUCCAAGAUUUUCCAAAGAGCAGAUCCAAACCAGCCACCCUCAGAGUAAGCACCCCCAAGAGUGUUGGUCAGUUUCCCAACAGAUCUUUUAGGAACUUGACAAUUCUCCCAAGAACUCCUCUGAAGAGUCUAUCUUCCUCUUAAGUUUGUAGGAAUAAAACAUCUAAGCAUCCUUGGAGCUGACCUGAAUAUGUGUAUGGAUUCUGGAUCAGAGAACUAUUUUGCUGGUAUAGCUUAUAUUGCUUCGGAACCCAGACUUGAGGACAGAUCUGAAAAGCUUGGCACACCCCAGGUUGUUAUCUCUACUUUCAUUAAAAGAAUAUAACAUUUCUUCACCGGCCACAUAGUAGCAGCCAGCAAAGAAAUAGGUCUUAGUGGAGAAGCCCUGGAGAGGAAUGGUUCCAUCUGAUAGAAUGUGAUACAGAUUGUAUCCAAAAGAGCUUCCAGGUGUCAUAGAGUUUAGAAUCCUCCUACCUGAGAGCCUCCCUGCUGGGUUUCUAUAAGUUUUAGUACAAUAACAUCCCCAUAUGAUCAAGGCUUUUGGGUACACUCUUAACUAUUAUGCUUUUUUUUUUACCUUUGAUUUGUUCAGUAAUUAUUUAAUCAUUGAAAGUAAAUGGAAUCAUCUUUGACUUAUUUAAAUAAGAAGCAAACUUACAGAUUCUUAUUAGCUACAGCUGAAUUACUGAACUCUUUCAAUGGGAACAGCUUUGAUUUAAGUUUCAUUAGCCAACUUCAUCCUUGGACGUUUCCCUAUCCUGGCUGGAUCAUGAUUGAUAUUAUAUAAUGCACUUCUUCAGUAUUCAAGGAAGCAUGGAUGUGGUUGCUCAGAUUGGAAGCCUGAAAGAAAGAAAGCAUUGAACUUCAUAAAGUGCCAGAGGUGAUUCCCUUUCUCUCUUCUGUUUCCAUCCACAUAUCUGAUUUCGAUGGGAACUAAAGUAAACUUGAGAAUGAAAGACCCACAUGAAAGUUAAAAAAAAAAACAACAGAUAUAGAACCAAGAACUUUAGGUAAC
rnacentral:lncRNA from 1 species